rnacentral:rRNA from 1 species
CACGUAGGGCGCAAGCGUUGUCCGGAAUUAUUGGGCGUAAAGAGCUCGUAGGCGGUCUGUUGCGUCCGCUGUGAAAACUCGGGGCUUAACCCCGAGCCUGCAGUGGAUACGGGCAGACUAGAGGUAGGUAGGGGAGAAUGGAAUUCCCGGUGUAGCGGUGAAAUGCGCAGAUAUCGGGAGGAACACCAAUGGCGAAGGCAGCUCGCUGGGACGUGACUGACGCUGAGACGCGAAAGCGUGGGGAGCAACAGG